UUGACAUGCAGAGAACUUCCAGAGAUGGAUUGGUGCCUUCGGGAACUCUGACACAGGUGCUGGCAUGGCUGUCGUCAGCUCGUGUCGUGAGAUGUUGGGUUAAGUCCCGUAACGAGCGCAACCCUUGUCCUUAGUUACCAGCACGUUAUGGUGGGCACUCUAAGGAGACUGCCGGUGACAAACCGGAGGAAGGUGGGGAUGACGCCAAGUCAUCAUGGCCCUUACGGCCUGGGCUACACACGUGCUACAAUGGUCGGUACAAAGGGUUGCCAAGCCGCGAGGUGGAGCUAAUCCCAUAAAACCGAUCGUAGUCCGGAUCGCAGUCUGCAACUCGACUGCGUGAAGUCGGAAUCGCUAGUAAUCGUGAAUCAGAAUGUCACGGUGAAUACGUUCCCGGGCCUU
rnacentral:rRNA from 1 species